rnacentral:misc_RNA from 1 species
AAAGUCGUAACAAGGUUUCCGUAGGUGAACCUGCGGAAGGAUCAUUAUCGUAGGGGGCUAUGCCCCCGAAAGGAUGUAGGCCAGCCAGAAUUGUAGUGGCUACUUGGAUGGCUGGCCGUCCAUCAGCUCUAACCCUUGCCUAUGAGUACUAUUGUUUCCUCGGCAGGCUUGCCUGCCAAUGAGGACCCCAUCAACCCUUUUUAUAUUAUUGUAACCGUAACAAACAAAUAAUCAAAACUUUCAACAACGGAUCUCUUGGUUCUG